rnacentral:rRNA from 1 species
AGAGUUUGAUCCUGGCUCAGAACGAACGCUGGCGGCAGGCCUAACACAUGCAAGUCGAACGCCCCGCAAGGGGAGUGGCAGACGGGUGAGUAACGCGUGGGAACAUGCCCUUCGGUACGGAACAACUCAGGGAAACUUGAGCUAAUACCGUAUACGUCCGUGAGGAGAAAGAUUUAUCGCCGAAGGAUUGGCCCGCGUCU